rnacentral:rRNA from 1 species
CCUACGGGUGGCAGCAGUAGGGAAUCUUGCACAAUGGGCGCAAGCCUGAUGGAGCAACACCGCGUGAGUGAAGAAGGCUUUCGGCUCGUAAAGCUCUUUUGUUGGGGAAGAACGUGCUAGAGAGUAACUGUUCACGCAGUGACGGUAUCCAACCAGAAAGUCACGGCUAACUACGUGCCAGCAGCCGCGGUAAUACGGAGGGUGCAAGCAUUAUCCGGAUUUAUUGGGCGUAAAGCGAGCGCAGGCGGUCGCUUAGGUCUGAUGUGAAAGCCUUGGGCUUAACCGAAGAAAUGCAUCGGAAACUGGGCGACUUGAGUGCAGAAGAGGAGAGUAGAACUCCAGGUGUAGCGGUGGAAUGCGUAGAUAUAUGGAAGAACACCAGUGGCGAAGGCGGCUGCCUGGUCUGAAACUGACGCUGAGGUGCGAAAGCAUGGGUAGCGAACAGGAUUAGAUACCCCGGUAGUC